GGCCCGGUCGUUCAAUGGAUAGGACACAGCUUUGCGAAAGCUGGAAUCCAGGUUCGAUCCCUGGUCGGGCCA
rnacentral:tRNA from 1 species